rnacentral:rRNA from 1 species
UACGGAGGGUGCAAGCGUUGUCCGGAAUCACUGGGCGUAAAGCGUGCGCAGGCGGUUUUGUAAGCCAGAUGUGAAAUCCCCGGGCUUAACCUGGGAAUGGCAUUUGGGACUGCAAGGCUAGAGUGUGUCAGAGGGGGGUAGAAUUCCACGUGUAGCAGUGAAAUGCGUAGAUAUGUGGAGGAAUACCGAUGGCGAAGGCAGCCCCCUGGGAUAACACUGACGCUCAUGCACGAAAGCGUGGGGAGCAAACAGG